rnacentral:rRNA from 1 species
GUCCACACCCGUAAACGAUGGUCACUAGUUGUCGGGGGGAUUCGACCCCCCUCGGAAACGACGCUAACGCAUUAAGUUACCCACCUGGGGAGUACGCUCGCAAGGGUGAAACUCAAAGGAAUUGACGGGGGCCCGCACAAGCGGUGGAGCAUGUGGUUUAAUUCGAUGCAACGCGAAGAACCUUACCUGGGCUCGAAGUGUGGUGUAAACUCGUGAAAGCGGGGUAUCCCUUCGGGGAGCGCCAUAUAGGUGCUGCAUGGCUGUCGU